rnacentral:rRNA from 1 species
CUGGCCUCAAAUCAGGUACG